AGGUGGGUAGUCCGCACGAGCGCACCCUACUGUUAGUUGCCAGCGGAUAAUGCCGGGGNACUCUAGCAGAACUGCCAGCGCAAGCUGCGAGGAAGGUGGGGACGACGUCAAAUCAUCACGGCCCUUACAUCCUGGGCCACACACGUGCUACAAUGGUAGUGACAGAGGGCAGCCACUGGGUAACCAGGAGCAAAUCCCUUAAACACUAUCUCAGUUCGGAUCGAAGUCUGCAACUCGACUUCGUGAAGCUGGAAUCGCUAGUAAUCGCGCAUCAGCCAUGGCGCGGUGGAUACGUUCCCGGGCCUUGUACACACCGCCCGUCAAGCCAUGGAAGCUGGGAGUGCCUGAAGUCGGUAACCGCAAGGAGCUGCCUAGGGUAAAACUAGUAACUAGGGCUAAGUCGUAACAAGGUAGCCGUACCGGAAGGUGUGGCUGGAACACCUCUUUUCU
rnacentral:rRNA from 1 species